UGAGCCAAGAUCGCACCACUGCAAUCCAGCCUGGGCGACAGAAUGAGACCCUGUCUCAAAAAAGACUCUAUAAGGAACUUAAACAAAUUUACAAGAGAAAAACAAACAACCCCUUUAAAAAGUAGGCAAAGGAAAUGAAUAGACGCUUUUCAAAAAACGAUAUAUAUGCGGUCAACUAUCAUAUGAAAAAAUGUUCAGUAUCACUCAUCAUUAGAGAAAUGCAAACCAAAACCACAAUGAGUUACCAUCUCACACUAGUCACAAUGGCUA
rnacentral:lncRNA from 1 species